CAUGUACAAGAGUGUUGUUGCAUACAAAAUUUUGACUUUUGUGGAUUUGUACACUU
rnacentral:tRNA from 1 species